UACGUAGGGGGCAAGCAUUGUCCGGAUUCAUUGGGCGUAAAGAGCGUGUAGGCGGCCAGGUAGGUCGGUUGUGAAAACUGGAGGCUCAACCUUCAGACGUCGACCGAAACCAUCUGGCUAGAGUCCGGGAGAGGAUAGUGGAAUUCCUGGUGUAGCGGUGAAAUGCGCAGAUAUCAGGAAGAACACCCGUGGCGAAAGCGGCUCUCUGGAACGGUACUGACGCUGAGACGCGAAAGCGUGGGGAGCGAACAGG
rnacentral:rRNA from 1 species